rnacentral:rRNA from 1 species
AUUACACAAUACAAUAUGAAGGCCGUACGCGGCUGGAUUAUUUUAUUACCCUUGUCUUUUGCGCACUUGUUGUUUCCUGGGCGGGUUCGCCCGCCACCAGGACCACACCAUAAACCUUUUUUAUGCAGUUGCAAUCAGCGUCAGUACAACAAAUGUAAAUCAUUUACAACUUUCAACAACGGAUCUCUUGGUUCUGGCAUCGAUGAAGAACGCAGCGAAAUGCGAUACGUAGUGUGAAUUGCAGAAUUCAGUGAAUCAUCGAAUCUUUGAACGCACAUUGCGCCCUUUGGUAUUCCAAAGGGCAUGCCUGUUCGAGCGUCAUUUGUACCCUCAAGCUUUGCUUGGUGUUGGGCGUUUUUUGUCUUUGGUUGCCAAAGACUCGCCUUAAAACGAUUGGCAGCCGGCCUCCUGGUUUCGCAGCGCAGCACAUUUUUGCGCUUGCAAUCAGCAACAGAGGGCGGCACUCCAUCAAGACUCCAUUUUCACGUUUGACCUCGGAUCAGGUAGGGAUACCCGCUGAACUUAAGCAUAUCAAA